UACAUGGGGUGCAAACGUUGCUCGGAAUUAUUGGGCGUAAAGAGCGUGUAGGCGGCCAUACAGGUCCGUUGUGAAAACUGGAGGCUUAACCUCCAGACGUCGAUGGAAACCGUAUGGCUAGAGUCCGGAAGAGGAGAGUGGAAUUCCUGGUGUAGCGGUGAAAUGCGCAGAUAUCAGGAAGAACACCCGUGGCGAAGGCGGCUCUCUGGGACGGUACUGACGCUGAGACGCGAAAGCGUGGGGAGCGAACAGG
rnacentral:rRNA from 1 species